rnacentral:rRNA from 3 species
GGGUUGUGAGGUUAAGCGACUAAGCGUACACGGUGGAUGCCCUGGCAGUCAGAGGCGAUGAAGGGCGUGCUAAUCUGCGAUAAGCGCCGGUAAGGUGAUAUGAACCGUUAUAACCGGCGAUACCCGAAUGGGGAAACCCAGUGUGAUUCGUCACACUAUCAUUAACUGAAUCCAUAGGUUAAUGAGGCGAACCGGGGGAACUGAAACAUCUAAGUACCCCGAGGAAAAGAAAUCAACCGAGAUUCCCCCAGUAGCGGCGAGCGAACGGGGAGGAGCCCAGAGCCUGAAUCAGCAUGUGUGUUAGUGGAAGCGUCUGGAAAGGCGCGCGAUACAGGGUGACAGCCCCGUACACAAAAGCGCAUGUGCUGUGAGCUCGAUGAGUAGGGCGGGACACGUGGUAUCCUGUCUGAAUAUGGGGGGACCAUCCUCCAAGGCUAAAUACUCCUGACUGACCGAUAGUGAACCAGUACCGUGAGGGAAAGGCGAAAAGAACCCCGGCGAGGGGAGUGAAAAAGAACCUGAAACCGUGUACGUACAAGCAGUGGGAGCACCCUUUGGGUGUGACUGCGUACCUUUUGUAUAAUGGGUCAGCGACUUAUAUUCUGUAGCAAGGUUAACCGAAUAGGGGAGCCGGAGGGAAACCGAGUCUUAACCGGGCGUUAAGUUGCAGGGUAUAGACCCGAAACCCGGUGAUCUAGCCAUGGGCAGGUUGAAGGUUGGGUAACACUAACUGGAGGACCGAACCGACUAAUGUUGAAAAAUUAGCGGAUGACCUGUGGCUGGGGGUGAAAGGCCAAUCAAACCGGGAGAUAGCUGGUUCUCCCCGAAAGCUAUUUAGGUAGCGCCUCGUGAAUUCAUCUCCGGGGGUAGAGCACUGUUUCGGCUAGGGGGCCAUCCCGGCUUACCAACCCGAUGCAAACUGCGAAUACCGGAGAAUGUUAUCACGGGAGACACACGGCGGGUGCUAACGUCCGUCGUGAAGAGGGAAACAACCCAGACCGCCAGCUAAGGUCCCAAAGUCAUGGUUAAGUGGGAAACGAUGUGGGAAGGCCCAGACAGCCAGGAUGUUGGCUUAGAAGCAGCCAUCAUUUAAAGAAAGCGUAAUAGCUCACUGGUCGAGUCGGCCUGCGCGGAAGAUGUAACGGGGCUAAACCAUGCACCGAAGCUGCGGCAGCGACACUGUGUGUUGUUGGGUAGGGGAGCGUUCUGUAAGCCUGUGAAGGUGUGUCGUGAGGCAUGCUGGAGGUAUCAGAAGUGCGAAUGCUGACAUAAGUAACGAUAAAGCGGGUGAAAAGCCCGCUCGCCGGAAGACCAAGGGUUCCUGUCCAACGUUAAUCGGGGCAGGGUGAGUCGACCCCUAAGGCGAGGCCGAAAGGCGUAGUCGAUGGGAAACGGGUUAAUAUUCCCGUACUUGGUGUUACUGCGAAGGGGGGACGGAGAAGGCUAUGUUGGCCGGGCGACGGUUGUCCCGGUUUAAGCGUGUAGGUGUGUGUUCCAGGUAAAUCCGGUUCACUUUAACACUGAGGCGUGACGACGAGGCACUACGGUGCUGAAGCAACAAAUGCCCUGCUUCCAGGAAAAGCCUCUAAGCAUCAGGUAACAUCAAAUCGUACCCCAAACCGACACAGGUGGUCAGGUAGAGAAUACCAAGGCGCUUGAGAGAACUCGGGUGAAGGAACUAGGCAAAAUGGUGCCGUAACUUCGGGAGAAGGCACGCUGACACGUAGGUGAAGUGAUUUACUCAUGGAGCUGAAGUCAGUCGAAGAUACCAGCUGGCUGCAACUGUUUAUUAAAAACACAGCACUGUGCAAACACGAAAGUGGACGUAUACGGUGUGACGCCUGCCCGGUGCCGGAAGGUUAAUUGAUGGGGUCAGCGCAAGCGAAGCUCCUGAUCGAAGCCCCGGUAAACGGCGGCCGUAACUAUAACGGUCCUAAGGUAGCGAAAUUCCUUGUCGGGUAAGUUCCGACCUGCACGAAUGGCGUAAUGAUGGCCAGGCUGUCUCCACCCGAGACUCAGUGAAAUUGAACUCGCUGUGAAGAUGCAGUGUACCCGCGGCAAGACGGAAAGACCCCGUGAACCUUUACUAUAGCUUGACACUGAACAUUGAGCCUUGAUGUGUAGGAUAGGUGGGAGGCUUUGAAGUGUGGACGCCAGUCUGCAUGGAGCCGACCUUGAAAUACCACCCUUUAAUGUUUGAUGUUCUAACGUGGACCCGUUACCCGGGUUGCGGACAGUGUCUGGUGGGUAGUUUGACUGGGGCGGUCUCCUCCUAAAGAGUAACGGAGGAGCACGAAGGUUGGCUAAUCCUGGUCGGACAUCAGGAGGUUAGUGCAAUGGCAUAAGCCAGCUUGACUGCGAGCGUGACGGCGCGAGCAGGUGCGAAAGCAGGUCAUAGUGAUCCGGUGGUUCUGAAUGGAAGGGCCAUCGCUCAACGGAUAAAAGGUACUCCGGGGAUAACAGGCUGAUACCGCCCAAGAGUUCAUAUCGACGGCGGUGUUUGGCACCUCGAUGUCGGCUCAUCACAUCCUGGGGCUGAAGUAGGUCCCAAGGGUAUGGCUGUUCGCCAUUUAAAGUGGUACGCGAGCUGGGUUUAGAACGUCGUGAGACAGUUCGGUCCCUAUCUGCCGUGGGCGCUGGAGAACUGAGGGGGGCUGCUCCUAGUACGAGAGGACCGGAGUGGACGCAUCACUGGUGUUCGGGUUGUCAUGCCAAUGGCACUGCCCGGUAGCUAAAUGCGGAAGAGAUAAGUGCUGAAAGCAUCUAAGCACGAAACUUGCCCCGAGAUGAGUUCUCCCUGAGACUUAGAGUCUCCUGAAGGAACGUUGAAGACGACGACGUUGAUAGGCCGGGUGUGUAAGCGCAGCGAUGCGUUGAGCUAACCGGUACUAAUGAACCGUGAGGCUUAACCUUACAACGCCG